UGUAGCAAUACGAGAGUAUCCUAGUGGCGAACGGGUGAGUAACGCGUUGGUGACCUACCCCAAAGUGUGGGAUAACAGUCCGAAAGGAUUGCUAAUACCGCAUGUGGUCAUUGGGUUUAGAAUCUGAUGACUAAAGGAGCAAUUCGCUUUGGGAGGGACCUGCGUCCCAUCAGCUAGUUGGUGAGGUAACGGCUCACCAAGGCGACGACGGGUAGGGGACCUGAGAGGGUGGCCCCCCACAAUGGAACUGAAACACGGUCCAUACACCUACGGGUGGCAGCAGUAGGGAAUAUUGCACAAUGGGCGAAAGCCUGAUGCAGCAACGCCGCGUGUGCGAUGAAGGCCUUCGGGUCGUAAAGCACUUUUCUGGGAGAUGAGAAAGGACAGUAUCCCAGGAAUAAGUCUCGGCUAACUACGUGCCAGCAGCCGCGGUAAAACGUAGGAGGCAAGCGUUAUCCGGAUUCACUGGGCGUAAAGCGCGUGCAGGUGGCGCGGUAAGUUAGGCGUGAAAUCUCCCGGCUCAACUGGGAGAGGUCGUCUAAUACUACCGUGCUUGAGAGCAGAAGAGGAAGAUGGAAUUCCCGGUGUAG
rnacentral:rRNA from 1 species